GGUUCCGCAGACCCGUCUGGCCACCACCCUGUAUCCUCCUGCCGAGUCCCCCUCUUCUCUAGCCGGCUCAUGGAGCUCAUCCCCGCUGUGUUCAUCCCAGUCCCUUCUGUCAUGACUGGUUCAAAGCGGUGAUUUGGAGGAAGACAGGACCAAGGUCAAGUCACUCACUCAUCAAGUGACCCACGGCAGGUGUUUAACAUUGUUGAGACUUAGGUUCCUUCUCUGUAAAAUGAAACUGAAAUACCUACCAGGUGUUUUUGUACAUGGAACAGCUGUAACCAGAUGAGCUUGAGGGAACCAACCUGGGACUCCUCUGGAAACCCUCUGGGGGGUCUCCGCAGAUUUCCUGACUUGAGGCCCCAUCUCCCCUGUGAUAACUCUGGAGGCGCUCUCACCUGAUUCCUCCUGCACGUCUUCCAACCACAGAAACUCAUCUGUUCAACUACUGAGGUGACGUCAGCCCCUGAUGACCUUCAGAGUCUCUGAACCUAACAUGCCAGAACACCAGCAUCUCCCUUACUUCAAAGCAUUCUUGCGAAAAGUGUUCACACAAAUCUAAUCAAGACUCUGACUUAAUGUCCAGUUUACAGGAAAUGCAGGGGCAGAAGAACAGGUUAAACAUCACCAGGAGGAAGCCAUCAGCCAAUGGCAGAACAUGGGACCUCCUCAGGAUAACUGGCUUGGUCCCUUCAAAAGUCAAAAGUCAUGGAGAACAUGAGGUGGGAACAUUCUAAGAUACGAAGGAGAUACAAGGACCAAUAUAAUAUAUAAUCAUUGAUUAGAUUAUAAUUCAGAGGGAAAAAAAUCCUGAAGACAUUUUGGGGAAAUUUGAUUGUGGAAAGAACAUUAAAUAUUAGAGAAUUAUAAUUGGGUGGUAUUGUGAUUAUGUAAGAGAUUGUCCUCAUGUUUUGGGGACGUGCAUUAAGUGUUUAGGUGCGGAGUAUCAGAAUGUCUAAUCUCACUUUGAAAUGGUUUAGAAAAAAAGAUAUUAAAUAUGGCAGAGUGUUAACAUAUAUUGAA